CCUACGGGUGGCUGCAGUCGAGAAUCAUUCACAAUGGGGGAAACCCUGAUGGUGCGACGCCGCGUGGGGGAAUGAAGGUCUUCGGAUUGUAAACCCCUGUCAUGUGGGAGCAAAUUAAAAAGAUAGUACCACAAGAGGAAGAUACGGCUAACUCUGUGACAGCAGCCGCGGUAAUACAGAGGUCUCAAGCGUUGUUCGGAAUCACUGGGCGUAAAGGGUUCGGAGGCUGUUUCGUAAGUCGUGUGUGAAAGGCGCGGGCUCAACCCGCGGACGGCACAUGAUACUGCGAGACUAGAGUAAUGGAGGGGGAACCGGAAUUCUCGGUGUAGCAGUGAAAUGCGUAGAUAUCGAGAGGAACACUCGUGGCGAAGGCGGGUUCCUGGACAUUAACUGACGCUGAGGCACGAAGGCCAGGGGAGCGAAAGGGAUUAGAUACCCUUGUAGUC
rnacentral:rRNA from 1 species